rnacentral:lncRNA from 1 species
ACGCAUGCCAAGCCAAACUUGGGGAGACUAUAGUAAGAGAAUCUGUUUUCUCCAUCUUUGGUUGUUUCUGUUUUCGAAAUUCCUUUCCUCUAGGUUCGGAGAAAAAGUUCCUUUUGAAAGGAGGAUUCCAACUUUGCUUUGAAUAAGAGGGAGGAAAGAGGGUUUCCGUGCCAGGCCCAACUAGGUCUACAACAGGAUAGUUAAAGAGCUUAUUCAAAAGGCUUGAACCGAGCAGCCGUGCAGGCAAGCCGAACACAAAAGGAAGCAAAAUACCCCAAGGGUGGCGAGAGCCAGGCCACGGGUGUCCAAGUGCGCCGGCCUCCCCCAGCAGCGGGUUCAUUCCCGGGCUCCUGCUCCUUCUCAGUUACUCGGCCCUCGGUCCCUUGGGCACAGUACCUGGAAUCGAGCUGCGUCUGCCGAGAAGCGUCUCGUGUCGAAUUUGGCCCCCGCGCCGAGCCGGCGAAAGAGAUCGUGGACGUCCAUCUUUACCCAGAAAGCGCCACAGUUCUACGGCGCCUGCGCAGACUACUUCCCAGGCCCCGGGCAGCGUCGGAAGAGGGCGUGAGCAUAAUUGGCUCCUGUAGGCGGAGCCUGGCUGGAUAAAGAAACAGAAACUCAAAGAAGUAACCAGGUCUGUAAACCCCGCACUUUGAGAGGCUGAGGCAGAAGGGAUUGUUUGAAGCCAGGAGAUUGAGACCAGCCUGCACAAUAUAAGGAGACCUUGUCUCUGCAAAAAAUUUAAAAAACAAAAGAAACUCAAAGAGGCCUCUCCUUCCUGACUCAGCCUUGGUUUACCACUGAGAUUUGCCAUAUACCAUACAGAAGAACAAAAACGUUACCAAUUAUUGGCAGGUUUUUUUUGUUUUUUUGUUUUUUUUUUAACCAAACGUCAAGUUGGUGAUGAAGUUAUCUGGAAAUGUCAACCAAACCCAGAAGACUACACAAGACUACAGGAGAAGGCACUCUGGGUAACAGAUUCAAGUUUUCGCAUCAGUUUGUUCGAUGAAGGAUCACAACAUAGACAGUACGGCUUUCUUGCUUCCUCUUCGGAGGUUCCUUGUCUCCCACCUCCAGGACAGACAGGAGUCCUUGACAUCGUGGGAGAGGCAUUGUGGCAAUACUGCAUAGAAGGGAAACUGGGCUUCGGGCUGCGCCUCCUGAGAGUGGAUUGUCUGAGGUGCCAGCAGGACGUCCGUCAGAUUUCAGGUGGAGGAGAGAGAAAACGGCUUGUGACCUUGCAGGUUUCAAAAGAAGAGCAAACAAGAAGGGCAGAUAAGGAGACGCCAGUGAGAUUCUAUGGCCUGUCAUUAGGGAUGGGCUUCCCAGCUAUCAAAUGUUUGCUCACAUAAUAAAAUGGUGGCAGAGCCCAAAAUGUUGUCAAAAGAACUAGAGUUAUUUGCCUCCUUCAGAGUCUAAACACAAACAUCUGAUAAGGGGUGCACUGUGGUCCCUUAGAACUGGAGGCCCAGCACACGCAGCCCCACGGGGGCCUGGCCCAGAAGAUCUCUGAGAGACCGCGGGGCCCUCCGUCUGAAAGGUGUGGUAGCUGUGGCAAAUGUGAAGGACAUCCUUAUUCUAAGAGGAUUUGUUACAUAAUGGUAAGAGCUAACAUUUAUCGACAUCCUACUGUGUGCCAGGCACCAUACCAA